ensembl:snoRNA
UGGCUGUGUUCCUAUUAAAAAAUAAGUUGCUCCAACUGCAAUCAAGAGCAUCCUGGAGAGACUGACAGGUCAGGUCAGGUCAUCAGUACCUGCAGUUGCCACUCACUUUUUUUUUUUAU